AGUCCCAUCUGGAUCUAUUAUUUCGACUUCUGGUUCCUCCACUACUAUGUUGCACCCAUCUUGGGAGAGGGUAUUCUUGGUGCUUGUUGGCAAGGGGAACUUGGCUGCAAGGCACAUGAAAGCAGAGCUUGAGAGAUGAUCUGAAACAUUCUGUGUGAGGAAUACUCCUAUUACUGAGUCGACUACAGAUCCCUUCCAAGGCGAGAACCUCCUAUCCCCUUGAACAAGGCGCAUUCGUGCGACAAAAGAGUCUACCCGUCCACGGACAACUUU
rnacentral:misc_RNA from 1 species